rnacentral:misc_RNA from 1 species
GAUGAAGAACGCAGCGAAAUGCGAUAAGUAAUGUGAAUUGCAGAAUUCAGUGAAUCAUCGAAUCUUUGAACGUACAUUGCGCCCAUUAGCAUUCUAGUGGGCAUGCCUGUUCGAGCGUCAUUUCAACCCUUAAGCCCUGUUGCUUAGCGUUGGGAGCCUACAGUACUGUAGCUCCCCAAAGUUAGUGGCGGAGUCGGUUUCACACUCUAGACGUAGUAAUUUUUUCUCGUCUGUAGUUGAGCCGGUCCCCUGCCGUAAAACACCCAAUUUAUCAAGGUUGACCUCGGAUCAGGUAGGAAUACCCGCUGAACUUAAGCAUAUCAAUAAGCGGAGGA